rnacentral:misc_RNA from 1 species
GGACUACUGGGGUUUCUAAUCCUGUUUGCUCCCCACGCUUUCGCACCUCAGCGUCAAUAUGUGUCCAGUAAGUCGCCUUCGCCACUGGUGUUCUUCCGAAUAUCUACGAAUUUCACCUCUACACUCGGAAUUCCACUUACCUCUCCACAAUUCUAGCGAUGCAGUCUUAAAGGCAAUUCCGGAGUUGAGCCCCGGGCUUUCACCUCUAACUUACAAAGCCGCCUACGUGCGCUUUACGCCCAGUAAUUCCGAACAACGCUAGCCCCCUCCGUAUUACCGCGGCUGCUGGCACGGAGUUAGCCGGGGCUUAUUCUCCCGGUACUGUCAUUAUCAUCCCGGGUAAAAGAGCUUUACAACCCUAAGGCCUUCAUCACUCACGCGGCAUUGCUGGAUCAGGCUU